GUGCUCACUUCAGCAACAUAUACACUUAAAGUGAAAUGAUAUGGACAAGGUCAACAUGGCUCCUGUGCAAGGAUGACAUGCAAAUUGAGGAAAGAGUCCAUAAUUUU
ensembl:snRNA U6 U6 spliceosomal RNA